UACGUCGGGGGCGAGCGUUGUCCGGAUUUACUGGGCGUAAAGCGCGUGUAGGCGGCCCAGCAAGUCUGCCGUGAAAGCUCGGGGCUCAACCCCGAGAGGUCGGUGGAAACUGCUAGGCUCGAGGACGGUAGAGGGGGGUGGAAUUCCCGGUGUAGUGGUGAAAUGCGUAGAUAUCGGGAGGAACACCAGUGGCGAAGGCGGCCCCCUGGGCCGCUCCUGACGCUGAGACGCGAAGGCCAGGGUAGCGAACGGG
rnacentral:rRNA from 1 species